rnacentral:tRNA from 2 species
UCCGGGAUGGUGUAAGGGUAGCACGCUUGAUUCUGGAUCAAGAAAUUGGGGUUCGAAUCCCUACCCCGGAGCCA